rnacentral:tRNA from 1 species
UAGCUCAGUCGGUUGAGUGUGGUGCUGAUAACACCAAGGUCGCGGGUUCGAUCCCCAU